rnacentral:rRNA from 1 species
AGUGGGGAAUCUUGCGCAAUGGGCGAAAGCCUGACGCAGCCAUGCCGCGUGUAUGAUGAAGGUCUUAGGAUUGUAAAAUACUUUCACCGGUGAAGAUAAUGACUGUAGCCGGAGAAGAAGCCCCGGCUAACUUCGUGCCAGCAGCCGCGGUAAUACGAAGGGGGCUAGCGUUGCUCGGAAUUACUGGGCGUAAAGGGAGCGUAGGCGGACAUUUAAGUCAGGGGUGAAAUCCCAGAGCUCAACUCUGGAACUGCCUUUGAUACUGGAUGUCUUGAGUGUGAGAGAGGUAUGUGGAACUCCGAGUGUAGAGGUGAAAUUCGUAGAUAUUCGGAAGAACACCAGUGGCGAAGGCGACAUACUGGCUCAUUACUGACGCUGAGGCUCGAAAGCGUGGGGAGCAAA